GGAGGUUGGCUUAGAAGCAGCCAUCCUUGAAAGAGUGCGUAACAGCUCACUGGUCUAGUGGUUCCGCGCCGACAAUGUAGCGGGGCUCAAGCACACCACCGAAGACGCGGCAGUAUUUUGUACUGGGUAGGAGAGCGUCCCAUGAGGGGCGAAGCGGCCGUGUGAACGCGCCGUGGACUUCAUGGGAGUGAGAAUGCAGACAUGAGUAGCGAGAGACGGGUGAAGAUCCCGUCCGCUGGAUGACCAAGGGUUCCAGGGCCACGUUCAUCGUCCCUGGGUGAGUCGGGUCCUAAGGCGAGGCCGACAGGCGUAGUCGAAUGGAUGAACGGGUCGAUAUUCCCGUACCGGCUUUCAGCCGCCAAAACCGAGGCUUGGAGUACUAACCUCCGGGUCCGGGCUUACUGCUCCUUCGGGGGCGGGAUGCCCUGGCCUGUUGGGACCGAUCCUUGUAGUAGGUCAGCGCAGGAGUGACGCAGAAGGGUAGCCGGCCGCGGAGGUGGUCUUCCGUGGUCAAGCACGCAGGGCGUGGGACAGGCAAAUCCGUCCCGCAUGGGUCCGAGGUGCGAUGAUGGGGGCCUUAUGGCCCGAUAUCCGGUGAUCCCGGCUGCCGAGAAAAGCUUCGGCGUCAGGCUCAAAGCCGCCCGUACCCCAAACCGACACUGGUGGUCAGGUAGAGAAUACCAAAGCGAUCGAGCGAAUCCUGGUCAAGGAACUCGGCAAAUCACUCCCGUUCCUUCGGUUUAAGGGAGACCCCCGAUGGUGAACACACUUGCUGUGGGAGCUUUUGGGGGUGGCACAGACCAGGGGGUAGCGACUGUUUACCAAAAACACAGGUGCAUGCGAAGGCGCAAGCCGCUGUAUAUGCACUGACGCCUGCCCGGUGCCGGAAGGUUAAGAGGAUCCGUCAGCCUUCGGGUGAAGCGGUGAAUUCAAGCCCCGGUAAACGGCGGUGGUAACUAUAACCAUCCUAAGGUAGCGAAAUUCCUUGUCGGGUAAGUUCCGACCUGCACGAAUGGCGUAACGACUUCCCCACUGUCUCGACCAGGAGCUCGGCGAAAUUGCAGUACGAGUAAAGAUGCUCGUUAAGCGCAGAAGGACGAAAAGACCCCGGGACCUUUACUAUACCUUGGUAUUGGCAUUCGGUGUGGAUUGUGUAGCAUAGGCGGGAGGCCGAGAGGCGCGGUCGCCAGAUCGCGCGGAGCCGUAAGGUGAAAUACCGCUCUGUUCGCAUUGGAUGUCUAACCUCGAACAGUCAUCCUGUUCAGGGACAGUGCCUGGCGGGUAGUUUAACUGGGGCGGUUGCCUCCCAAAGAGUAACGGAGGCGCCCAAAGGUCCGCUCAGCCCGGUUGGCAAUCGGGUGGCGAGUGCAAGUGCACAAGCGGGCUUGACUGCGAGGACGACGGUCCGAGCAGGGACGAAAGUCGGGACUAGUGAUCCGGUGCCGGUGUACGGACGCGGCAUCGCUCAACGGAUAAAAGGUACCCCGGGGAUAACAGGCUGAUCAUUCCCAAGAGUCCAUAUCGACGGGAUGGUUUGGCACCUCGAUGUCGGCUCGUCGCAUCCUGGGGCUGGAGCAGGUCCCAAGGGUUCGGCUGUUCGCCGAUUAAAGCGGCACGCGAGCUGGGUUCAGAACGUCGUGAGACAGUUUGGUCUCUAUCCUCUGCGCUCGUUGGAAUGCUGAGGAGGCCUGCCCAUAGUACGAGAGGACCUGGGUGGACGAACCUCUGGUAUGCCGGUUGUCACGCCAGUGGCACGGCCGGUUGGCUACGUUCGGAAGGGAUAACCGCUGAAAGCAUCUAAGCGGGAAGCCUGCUCCAAGAUAAGCAUUCCGUGGAACCUUCGAGUUCCUGUAGUCCCCAUGCAGAACACGUGGUUGAUAGGCCGGACGUGGAAGCCCCGCGAGGGGUGGAGCCGACCGGUACUAACGGACGAAAGGCAACACUA
rnacentral:rRNA from 1 species